AGGUGGGGGGGGCCUAAAAUGCAAGUCGAGCGGCAGCGGAAAGUAGGUUGCUACUUUGCCGGCGAGCGGCGGAAGGGAGAGUAAUGUCUGGGAAACUGCCUGAUGGAGGGGGAUAACUACUGGAAACGGUAGCUAAUACCGCAUGACCUCGAAAGAGCAGAGUGGGGGAUCUUCGGACCUCACGCCAUCGGAUGUGCCCAGAUGGGAUUAGCUAGUAGGUGAGGUAAUGGCUCGCCUAGGCGACGAUCCCUAGCUGGUCUGAGAGGAUGACCAGCCACACUGGAACUGAGACACGGUCCAGACUCCUACGGGAGGCAGCAGUGGGGAAUAUUGGACAAUGGGCGCAAGCCUGAUGCAGCCAUGCCGCGUGUGUGAAGAAGGCCUUAGGGUUGUAAAGCACUUUCAGCGAGGAGGAAGGCAUCACACUUAAUACGUGUGGUGAUUGACGUUACUCGCAGAAGAAGCACCGGCUAACUCCGUGCCAGCAGCCGCGGUAAUACGGAGGGUGCAAGCGUUAAUCGGAAUUACUGGGCGUAAAGCGCACGCAGGCGGUUUGUUAAGUCAGAUGUGAAAUCCCCGCGCUUAACGUGGGAACUGCAUUUGAAACUGGCAAGCUAGAGUCUUGUAGAGGGGGGUAGAAUUCCAGGUGUAGCGGUGAAAUGCGUAGAGAUCUGGAGGAAUACCGGUGGCGAAGGCGGCCCCCUGGACAAAGACUGACGCUCAGGUGCGAAAGCGUGGGGAGCAAACAGGAUUAGAUACCCUGGUAGUCCACGCUGUAAACGAUGUCGACUUGGAGGUUGUGCCCUUGAGGCGUGGCUUCCGGAGCUAACGCGUUAAGUCGACCGCCUGGGGAGUACGGCCGCAGGUUAAAACUCAAAUGAAUUGACCGGGGCCCGCACAAGCGGUGGAGCAUGUGGUUUAAUUCGAUGCAACGCGAAUAACCUUACCUACUCUUGACAUCCACGUAUUCGCAGAAAUGGCUUAGUGCCUUACGUAACCGUGAGACAGGUGCUGCAUUGGCUGUCGUCAGCUCGUGUGUGAAAUGUUGGGUUAAGUCCCGCACCGAGCGCCUAUCCCUUAUCCUUUUGUUGCCAGCACGGUAAUGGUGGGUACUCAAAGGACACUGUCACGGUGAUAAACCGGAGGGAGGGUGGAAUGAACGUCAAGUCAUCCCUGGACCGUUACGAAGUUAGGCCUACACUACAUGCCUACCAUUGCCAUAUAGCGAAUGGACAAGCCGAAGCCUCUCGCUCGAGAAGGCCUAGGCUGCGAACCCUCUCACUCAG
rnacentral:rRNA from 1 species